rnacentral:lncRNA from 10 species
ACCUGUGCUUUUGUUCCUGGAAACUUAGGUUGAGCCUUUCCCCUGCUCUCUGCCUGAAAACAUCCUCCUUGUCACAGUCUGGAGGCCCUGGCAAUGCAGUUUCAGAAGGCUGAAUUCUCAGAGUUGAACCUAGCUGCCUAUGUGACCGGGGGCUGCAUGGUGGACAUGCAGGUCGUGAGAAAUGGGACCAAAGUGGUGAGGUAAGUAGGAUUAAAAUAUGCAGAACCUUCUGAGAAUUGCAUACGUGGAACCUCAUGUAGCCCACCCCUCCGUCCACUUCCUGCGACCUAACUCCUUUGCCACAUGUACUUUCCUGUACAGAAUGUCUGCUUCCCAGGUGUGGUUGCAGUAGUAAUGACCAGCGGCACAUAUCAUACGUGCAGCACCUGUGGUGUCCCCAAGUGAGCCCUGGGCUUGGAGAGAAAAGACUUGGGUUCCAUUUCUGGCUUUGAGGCUCUGCUCUGGCAUAUUAUUUAGUCCCUUUUGUCCUCUACUUCUCAUCUGCAGCAUGAUGAUAUGCACUGAAGUUAGAGGCUGCUAAAGUUUACAGAAACUCACAUGUAUGACAGCACCCUGUUAACUCUGAAGUGCGGUA